CAAACUCACAAAAUCAAAUAAAAUGGCUUCACACAAUUAAUUUGGGUUUUAAUCAAUUAAAAAUAUUAAAAAUAGUGCAUUAAUUUAAAUAUGGUUGUUCAAUUUCCUAAAACCUCAUCAAAACAACAAAGAAAUGGCCAUAAGAUUUAUAUAGGUCAAACAAGGUCAAAGAACCUUGGAGAAUUUUUUUUAGAAAUUUUGGAAACUUAAAAGUAUUUUUAAAUAAUGAAAAAUAUUAAUAAUGAUCCAAAAAGUAAUUU
rnacentral:lncRNA from 1 species